GCUUACGUCACAGCGUUCUCCGUGAAGGGGCGGGGCUGAUGACUCACGCAGUCGGGCCUCCGCCCUUCCGGGCCGCGCGCACGUGAGCGCGCCGCUCCGCCUGUCUAAUUUUAGCUCUGAGGUGUCAGGGUCGUGCGAGAUGGUUUCCUGCAUGUCUGUGAGGAGUGGAGGAGGACAUGUCUGUCAUCCAGAGUAACCGGGUCAAGGAUGUGUGGUUAGAUUGGAAAGGAAGACAUCUGCUUGCAUCAGCUCAACUUUGAAGACAGGGGGUGCACUGACCCCCACCCUCUCUCCCAUCUCACAUGAGGAUGACCAGAGAGGGUUGGUGUUCGAGAUUUGCCAUAAUGUGUGGGAUCAGGAACCAGAUAAAAGUUUAGUGUUGAAGAAAUGAAUGCCAGGCACCUUGUAAAAUUGGCACCGCAGCCCUGUCAUCAGAAAGUGAGCUGUUCUUUUGACACACAGAGUUGUUUGCCAUGUCACAGUGACCUGCAUUCUGUUAGUGAGGGAGCCUCAGGUUUCACAUGGGUUGUCUCUGUAUAAGCUGUAAAAUGAUAGCCUCUGGCCUUUAUGGUAUUGGGAAACUUGAAGUGUUUAAUGAUAAAAGUGGUUUCUAAUGGUUGAGUGCUUCAGUUUCUUCUUUCCAACCCCCUAUCCCCACUUUUUAAAAGAAAGGUUAAUCGUGGAGAAUGUGACAAGAAUGAGAGAAUCUGGUGUGUUCUUUCGUUUGCAUUCCAAAAAUAAAUACAACCCUUCUGAGUUCAUAUGCAAACAUGGAUGUGCAAACAUUUUAGAACUUUAGUCCCUGUAAUUAUCCACCUCUAACCAGUUUAAAGGACCUGAAGGUUGGGCUGGAAAGAUGACUUAGCAGUUAAGAGCACUGGCUGCUCUUCCAGAGGACCACAUGGCAACUCACAGCUGUCUGUAACCCCUGUUCCAGGGGACCAACUCCCUCAUACAUGCAGGCAAAACACAAUGUACAUAAAAUAAAAAUAUUAGAAAAGA
rnacentral:lncRNA from 1 species